AUGGCAGCUCAACCAAAGGAGCAUUUGUCU
rnacentral:piRNA from 1 species